UUUUUUUUUUUUUUUUUUUUUUUUUUUUUUUCCUUCC
rnacentral:ribozyme from 13 species